CUUUUCACUUCAGCAAAGUUGGUUUUAUUAGCUCUACUUCCCCCAGUUUGGUAGUAAUCCAGCUCACAAAUCCAUCCUUACAGCCUACUAAUCCAUGUUACAUCCUACUAGUUAACGAUUGUCUUCUAAAUGAGGAAUGCCUUCCAAUUAUUUUUAUGUGCAAAUACAAUACUGCAGGUGCUUAAACAUCAAUAAUGGUAAAAACAACAUGGUAAUUGCUCUAGACUGAAUGUUUGUAUUUCUCUCAAAUUCAUAUGUUGAAGCCCUCAACCCCAAUGUGGCUGUAUUUUGAGAUAGAGCAUUUACAGGAGUAAUUAAGGUUAAAUGAGUCCACAAGGGUAGGGCUCUGAUCCAAAAGAAAUAGUGUCCUUAUAACGGGAGGAACCAGAGAGCUCUCUCUCUCUGCCAUGUAAGAAUACAGUAAGAAGGUUGCUGUCUACAAACUAAGAAGAGGGCCCUCACCAGAAUUCAAUCAUGCUGGCACCUUAUCUUGGACUUUCAACCUCCAGAAUUGCAAGAAAAUAAAUUUCUGUUCUUUAAGCCA
rnacentral:lncRNA from 10 species